AUUGUGUAAUACUUUUUUAUUUGUCUGUUGCACAAUCUAUUUGCUGAUACUUGUUUCUUUCCCUCCCUCCCUCUCCCCUAGGCUAUCAAACAAAGCUGCCCAACCUUACACUCAUCCAUCAACCUCGAGUUAUUAAGAGAAUAACUGCAGAACAUUUACAAGUGGAUGGGAUGGAGUCCUGGCUGCUUUUCAAGAACACGGAGUCAGUGCUUUGCAAAAAACUUUGCAAGAUGGCAAAUUUUCUCAUGCUGCCUGUUCCUUGCUCUGCUGGGACCUGCUGGAAGGAAUGGUGUCUUCAGUUUAGGGUUUUCCCCAUCUUCCCCUUCCCUAUAAGGUCCAGAGACAUUAUCAUCACAUCCCACAUGGGCCAAAUCAUGCCGAUGAGCCAAGAGGUGAGGAGAAGUCUAAUCUGGGCCACACAACUCUCACUUGUGUAUCUAGGCCACCCAGCCCUUUGUUAUUUCAGAUAUGGAUUUCAGGUACCAGAAGGAAUAGAAGGAAGGUAAGAAGGAAGCGAUGGUCUGACUAAGAUUUACAUCUGAGGUAUAGCAAGCAGGAGAUUUAAGAACCACACUUGGGACUUAAGAGACUCAGGAAACAUUUGCUAUAAAUGAAAAAAAAAAAAAUCCUUCUGUGUUGCAAAUUCCUAUAUGCCAACUGUUAUUUAGCAUCCUUAUUAUUAUGUGAUAUAUGAAAGGCAAGGUGAAGUCAUAUAAGGAGUGUUUCCUGGAUUUUUAUGCUCAACUAUAUAAUGUAUGUAUGCAUUCUGCCUGUCCAAAAUAUUAAUUAAAUUAUAUUAAGUAAACUAUAUUUUGGGAGGGAGAAUUUGACUUGAGUAAAGCAUAAUAACCAUUAAGUUCAUUUGCUGUAAUUUACAAAGUGCUCCUAUCGUAAAACUCUGGUGCUGGUAGCCAAAAAAGAAGUAUAAAUCACAUUAUGGUAAGUUGGUUGCAAAAAGCACUAAAUAGUCUGUGUUCUACCCCUGCAGAAGAAAGAGUGCAGGGCUCCUGUAGUGAAAUAACAGGAAAAAAUAGCCCAGUUUUGAAACAUGUCUUUUAAGGCUGAAAUUUUCAACUGUAUUGAGUGGAAAGUAGAUAGCCAGUGCUCAUCGGCAGCCUAUGUUAAUUUUAUGCCUCUGUAAUUAACCCCCCCUUUCAAUGGCUCUCUACUCAUGUUCCAACCAGGCUGCCCUGCCUAAGUGAAGGAAAUAAAGGACAUGGACAAGAUGGUCUACA
rnacentral:lncRNA from 1 species